GUACGAAAUAACAAUACAGUAUUUCUGAGAUAUUAGAGUAUAGGCUUGACAUACAGUACCAGACAACAGAAUAUGGUAUUUAGGAGAUCGUAGAGUAUCGACUUGACUUGCAGUAUGAUGAGACUUUUUGUGAAACAUAUUGACUAUUCCAACACUGUUGAAUCAAGUGUAUUUAAUGUGAGUAUAGACGCCGUGUGGCUUACCGUGAAUAGAAUCGAGGUUAGAUAACGGGACAAUCAAGAGGACGUUUCUCUGCCAACCCCAGGAUCGACCCUGGGACGCCCCGGCUAGUGUCUCGGCGCCUAACUCAAUGAGGAGACAGAUGAUGUUGAAGGCUUUGGAUCAGUUUGAAUAUGAUUGUAUAUCAUAUUGACUUUUAUUUCUUUGGAGAUGAUAACAUGGGAGUAUUUACAUGUUAUUGUUCA